rnacentral:rRNA from 1 species
GAUGAACGCUGGCGGCGUGCUUAACACAUGCAAGUUGAACGAAGUGGCGGAUGGGCGAGUAACACGUGAGGAACCUGCCUUUCACAGGGGAAUAACACUGGGAAACCAGUGCUAGUACCGCAUAGUGAAAGAUUGCUUCGGGCGUGAUUGGCUAGUAGGUGAGGUAACGGCUCACCUAGGUGAUGUGCAGUAGCCGGACGGAAGGUGGAGCGGCCGCAGGGGGAAUGAGACACGGCGCAGAAGCAGAGGGGAGGAUGGAGCGGUGAAUAAUGGGCUAUGGAGCAAGCCUGACCGAGCAAUGCCGCGUGAAGGAAGACGGUCUUCGGUUUGUAAACUUCUUUAGACAUUGACGCGGUACGUGUAGAAUAAGCCACGGCUAACUACGUGCCAGCAGCCGCGGUAAUAC